rnacentral:rRNA from 1 species
CACCGCGGUUAUACGAGAGGCCCAAGUUGAUAGACUCCGGCGUAAAGAGUGGUUAAGAUAAAUUUUAAACUAAAGCCGAACGCCCUCAGGGCUGUCAUACGCGCCCGAAGGUAAGAAGCCCAAUCACGAAAGUGGCUUUAUGACAACUGAACCCACGAAAGCUAUGACA